UUUAGGGUUGCAACAUUCCUCGUAAAAGUAGUGAUUUAUAAAGAAUUUCCAUGCGUAAAAAUGUUCCCAGUUUUCCAUAACCUUUUGACCACAGGUGUG